GACGAACGCUGGCGGCGUGCUUAACACAUGCAAGUCGAACGGUGAAGGGGUCUGCUUUUGUGGGCCCUGGCUGAGUGGCGAACGGUAGAGUAACACGUGAGUAAUCUGCCCCCUUCUUGUGGAUAACCGCAUGAAAGUGUGGCUAAUACGGGAUGUUCUGGGUCUGUCGCAUGAUGGGUCUGGGAAAGAUUGCGCCUUCGGGUGUUUUUGGUGGGGGAUGGGCUCGCGGCCUAUCAGAUUGUUGGUGGGGUGAUGGCCUACCAAGGCGGUGACGGGUAGCCGGCCUGAGAGGGUGGACGGUCACACUGGGACUGAGACACGGCCCAGACUCCUACGGGAGGCAGCAGUGGGGAAUAUUGCACAAUGGGCGCAAGCCUGAUGCAGCGACGCCGCGUGAGGGAUGGAGGCCUUCGGGUUGUAAACCUCUUUCGCCAGUGAAGCAGGCCUGCUCCGUGUGGGUGGGUUGACGGUAGCUGGAUAAGAAGCGCCGGCUAACUACGUG
rnacentral:rRNA from 1 species